rnacentral:rRNA from 1 species
AAUUCCAUCUAAARCUAAAUAUUGGCGAGAGACCGAUAGCGAACAAGUACCGUGAGGGAAAGAUGAAAAGAACUUUGGAAAGAGAGUUAAACAGUACGUGAAAUUGCUGAAAGGGAAACGCUUGAARUCAGUYGCGUUGGCCAGGGAUCAACCUUGCUUUUUUUUUUGCUUGGCUUACUUCCUGGUUAAUGGGUCASCWUCAWUUUUGACUGGUGGAAAAAGUUCAGGGAAUGUGGCAUCUUCGGAUGUGUUAUAGCCUUUGCUCGCAUACAUCAGUUGGRAUUGAGGAACUCAGCACGCCGCAAGGCCGGGUUUUCAACCACGUACGUGCUUAGRAUGCUGGCAUAAUGGYUUUAAUCGACCCGUCUUGAAACACGGACCAAGGAGUCUAACAUGCCUGCGAGUGUUUGGGUGGAAAACCCGAGCGCGUAAUGAAAGUGAAAGUUGAGAUC